rnacentral:rRNA from 1 species
AAGUCUGAUGCAGCAACGCCGCGUGGAGGAUGACACAUUUCGGUGCGUAAACUCCUUUUAUAUAGGAAGAUAAUGACGGUACUAUAUGAAUAAGCACCGGCUAACUCCGUGCCAGCAGCCGCGGUAAUACGGAGGGUGCAAGCGUUACUCGGAAUCACUGGGCGUAAAGAGCGUGUAGGCGGAUUAAUAAGUUUGAAGUGAAAUCCUAUAGCUUAACUAUAGAACUGCUUUGAAAACUGUUAAUCUAGAAUGUGGGAGAGGUAGAUGGAAUUUCUGGUGUAGGGGUAAAAUCCGUAGAGAUCAGAAGGAAUACCGAUUGCGAAGGCGAUCUACUGGAACAUUAUUGACGCUGAGACGCGAAAGCGUGGGGAGCAAACAGGAUUAGAUACCCUGGUAGUCCACGCCCUAAACGAUGUACACUAGUUGUUGUGAGGCUAGACCUUGCAGUAAUGCAGUUAACACAUUAAGUGUACCGCCUGGGGAGUACGGUCGCAAGAUUAAAACUCAAAGGAAUAGACGGGGACCCGCACAAGCGGUGGAGCAUGUGGUUUAAUUCGACGAUACACGAAGAACCUUACCUGGACUUGACAUAGUAAGAACUUUCUAGAGAUAGAUUGGUGUCUGCUUGCAGAAACUUAUAUACAGGUGCUGCACGGCUGUCGUCAGCUCGUGUCGUGAGAUGUUGGGUUAAGUCCCGCAACGAGCGCAACCCUCGUCCUUAGUUGCUAACAGUUCGGCUGAGAACUCUAAUGAGACUGCCUACGCAAGUAGGAGGAAGGUGAGGACGACGUCAAGUCAUCAUGGCCCUUACGUCCAGGGCUACACACGUGCUACAAUGGGAUAUACAAAGAGCAGCAAUACGGUGACGUGGAGCAAAUCUCAAAAAUAUCUCCCAGUUCGGAUUGUAGUCUGCAACUCGACUACAUGAAGUUGGAAUCGCUAGUAAUCGUAGAUCAGCUAUGCUACGGUGAAUACGUUCCCGGGUCUUGUACUCACCGCCCGUCACACCAUGGGAGUUGAACUCAUUCGAAGCGGGGAUGCUAAAGUAGCUACCUUCCACAGUGGAUUCAGCGACUGGGGUGAAGUCGUAACAAGGUAACCGUAGGAGAACCUGCGGUUG